rnacentral:rRNA from 1 species
UUAAGCGACUAAGCGUACACGGUGGAUGCCCUGGCAGUCAGAGGCGAUGAAGGGCGUGCUAAUCUGCGAUAAGCGCCGGUAAGGUGAUAUGAACCGUUAUAACCGGCGAUUUCCGAAUGGGGAAACCCAGUGUGAUUCGUCACACUAUCAUUAACUGAAUCCAUAGGUUAAUGAGGCGAACCGGGGGAACUGAAACAUCUAAGUACCCCGAGGAAAAGAAAUCAACCGAGAUUCCCCCAGUAGCGGCGAGCGAACGGGGAGGAGCCCAGAGCCUGAAUCAGCAUGUGUGUUAGUGGAAGCGUCUGGAAAGGCGCGCGAUACAGGGUGACAGCCCCGUACACAAAAGCGCAUGUGCUGUGAGCUCGAUGAGUAGGGCGGGACACGUGGUAUCCUGUCUGAAUAUGGGGGGACCAUCCUCCAAGGCUAAAUACUCCUGACUGACCGAUAGUGAACCAGUACCGUGAGGGAAAGGCGAAAAGAACCCCGGCGAGGGGAGUGAAAAAGAACCUGAAACCGUGUACGUACAAGCAGUGGGAGCACAGGUUUACCUGUGUGACUGCGUACCUUUUGUAUAAUGGGUCAGCGACUUAUAUUCUGUAGCAAGGUUAACCGAAUAGGGGAGCCGGAGGGAAACCGAGUCUUAAUUGGGCGUUAAGUUGCAGGGUAUAGACCCGAAACCCGGUGAUCUAGCCAUGGGCAGGUUGAAGGUUGGGUAACACUAACUGGAGGACCGAACCGACUAAUGUUGAAAAAUUAGCGGAUGACCUGUGGCUGGGGGUGAAAGGCCAAUCAAACCGGGAGAUAGCUGGUUCUCCCCGAAAGCUAUUUAGGUAGCGCCUCGUGAAUUCAUCUCCGGGGGUAGAGCACUGUUUCGGCUAGGGGGCCAUCCCGGCUUACCAACCCGAUGCAAACUGCGAAUACCGGAGAAUGUUAUCACGGGAGACACACGGCGGGUGCUAACGUCCGUCGUGAAGAGGGAAACAACCCAGACCGCCAGCUAAGGUCCCAAAGUCAUGGUUAAGUGGGAAACGAUGUGGGAAGGCCCAGACAGCCAGGAUGUUGGCUUAGAAGCAGCCAUCAUUUAAAGAAAGCGUAAUAGCUCACUGGUCGAGUCGGCCUGCGCGGAAGAUGUAACGGGGCUAAACCAUGCACCGAAGCUGCGGCAGCGAACGUAUCACCCAAGACAACUUUACGGAGUUGACGAUUGACGGAGCGAAGCGACGUCAAAGCGUUCAUUAAAGUCGAGUUGGCUUAGGGAUACGUUCGUUGGGUAGGGGAGCGUUCUGUAAGCCUGUGAAGGUGUGUCGUGAGGCAUGCUGGAGGUAUCAGAAGUGCGAAUGCUGACAUAAGUAACGAUAAAGCGGGUGAAAAGCCCGCUCGCCGGAAGACCAAGGGUUCCUGUCCAACGUUAAUCGGGGCAGGGUGAGUCGACCCCUAAGGCGAGGCCGAAAGGCGUAGUCGAUGGGAAACGGGUUAAUAUUCCCGUACUUGGUGUUACUGCGAAGGGGGGACGGAGAAGGCUAUGUUGGCCGGGCGACGGUUGUCCCGGUUUAAGCGUGUAGGUGUGUGUUCCAGGUAAAUCCGGUUCACUUUAACACUGAGGCGUGACGACGAGGCACUACGGUGCUGAAGCAACAAAUGCCCUGCUUCCAGGAAAAGCCUCUAAGCAUCAGGUAACACGAAAUCGUACCCCAAACCGACACAGGUGGUCAGGUAGAGAAUACCAAGGCGCUUGAGAGAACUCGGGUGAAGGAACUAGGCAAAAUGGUGCCGUAACUUCGGGAGAAGGCACGCUGACACGUAGGUGAAGUGAUUUACUCAUGGAGCUGAAGUCAGUCGAAGAUACCAGCUGGCUGCAACUGUUUAUUAAAAACACAGCACUGUGCAAACACGAAAGUGGACGUAUACGGUGUGACGCCUGCCCGGUGCCGGAAGGUUAAUUGAUGGGGUCAGCGCAAGCGAAGCUCCUGAUCGAAGCCCCGGUAAACGGCGGCCGUAACUAUAACGGUCCUAAGGUAGCGAAAUUCCUUGUCGGGUAAGUUCCGACCUGCACGAAUGGCGUAAUGAUGGCCAGGCUGUCUCCACCCGAGACUCAGUGAAAUUGAACUCGCUGUGAAGAUGCAGUGUACCCGCGGCAAGACGGAAAGACCCCGUGAACCUUUACUAUAGCUUGACACUGAACAUUGAGCCUUGAUGUGUAGGAUAGGUGGGAGGCUUUGAAGUGUGGACGCCAGUCUGCAUGGAGCCGACCUUGAAAUACCACCCUUUAAUGUUUGAUGUUCUAACGUGGACCCGUAAUCCGGGUUGCGGACAGUGUCUGGUGGGUAGUUUGACUGGGGCGGUCUCCUCCUAAAGAGUAACGGAGGAGCACGAAGGUUGGCUAAUCCUGGUCGGACAUCAGGAGGUUAGUGCAAUGGCAUAAGCCAGCUUGACUGCGAGCGUGACGGCGCGAGCAGGUGCGAAAGCAGGUCAUAGUGAUCCGGUGGUUCUGAAUGGAAGGGCCAUCGCUCAACGGAUAAAAGGUACUCCGGGGAUAACAGGCUGAUACCGCCCAAGAGUUCAUAUCGACGGCGGUGUUUGGCACCUCGAUGUCGGCUCAUCACAUCCUGGGGCUGAAGUAGGUCCCAAGGGUAUGGCUGUUCGCCAUUUAAAGUGGUACGCGAGCUGGGUUUAGAACGUCGUGAGACAGUUCGGUCCCUAUCUGCCGUGGGCGCUGGAGAACUGAGGGGGGCUGCUCCUAGUACGAGAGGACCGGAGUGGACGCAUCACUGGUGUUCGGGUUGUCAUGCCAAUGGCACUGCCCGGUAGCUAAAUGCGGAAGAGAUAAGUGCUGAAAGCAUCUAAGCACGAAACUUGCCCCGAGAUGAGUUCUCCCUGAGACUUAGAGUCUCCUGAAGGAACGUUGAAGACGACGACGUUGAUAGGCCGGGUGUGUAAGCGCAGCGAUGCGUUGAGCUAACCGGUACUAAUGAACCGUGAGGCUUAACCU